CUGCAUGGCGGAGCUACCAUGCAGUCGAGCGGAACGAGUUAUCUGAACCUUCGGGGGACGAUAACGGCGUCGAGCGGCGGACGGGUGAGUAAUGCCUAGGAAAUUGCCCUGAUGUGGGGGAUAACCAUUGGAAACGAUGGCUAAUACCGCAUGAUGCCUACGGGCCAAAGAGGGGGACCUUCGGGCCUCUCGCGUCAGGAUAUGCCUAGGUGGGAUUAGCUAGUUGGUGAGGUAAGGGCUCACCAAGGCGACGAUCCCUAGCUGGUCUGAGAGGAUGAUCAGCCACACUGGAACUGAGACACGGUCCAGACUCCUACGGGAGGCAGCAGUGGGGAAUAUUGCACAAUGGGCGCAAGCCUGAUGCAGCCAUGCCGCGUGUGUGAAGAAGGCCUUCGGGUUGUAAAGCACUUUCAGUCGUGAGGAAGGUGGUGGUGUUAAUAGCACUAUCAUUUGACGUUAGCGACAGAAGAAGCACCGGCUAACUCCGUGCCAGCAGCCGCGGUAAUACGGAGGGUGCGAGCGUUAAUCGGAAUUACUGGGCGUAAAGCGCAUGCAGGUGGUUUGUUAAGUCAGAUGUGAAAGCCCGGGGCUCAACCUCGGAAUUGCAUUUGAAACUGGCAGACUAGAGUACUGUAGAGGGGGGUAGAAUUUCAGGUGUAGCGGUGAAAUGCGUAGAGAUCUGAAGGAAUACCGGUGGCGAAGGCGGCCCCCUGGACAGAUACUGACACUCAGAUGCGAAAGCGUGGGGAGCAAACAGGAUUAGAUACCCUGGUAGUCCACGCCGUAAACGAUGUCUACUUGGAGGUUGUGGCCUUGAGCCGUGGCUUUCGGAGCUAACGCGUUAAGUAGACCGCCUGGGGGAGUACGGUCGCAAGAUUAAAACUCAAAUGAAUUGACGGGGGCUCGCCACAAGCGGUGGAGCAUGUGGUUUAAUUCGAUGCAACGCGAGAACCUUACCUACUCUUGACAUCCAGAAGAACUUUCCAGAGAUGGAUUGGUGCCUUCAGGACUCUGAGAACAGGUGCUGCAUGGCUGUCGUCAGCUCGUGUUGUGAAAUGUUGGAUUAAGGUCCCGCACGAGCGCAACCGUUUAUCCUUGUUUUGCUAGCGAGUAAUGUUCAGGUAACUUCCAGGCAGAACUGCCGGUGAAUAACCCGGAGAGGGUGGGGACACACGUUCAGGUCAUCUCUUGCUCCUUCCGAGAG
rnacentral:rRNA from 1 species